rnacentral:rRNA from 1 species
CCUGGUUGAUUCUGCCAGUAGUCAUAUGCUUGUCUUAAAGAUUAAGCCAUGCAUGUCUAAGUAUAAGCAAUUAUACAGCGAAACUGCGAAUGGCUCAUUAAAUCAGUUAUCGUUUAUUUGAUAGUACCUUACUACAUGGAUAACCGUGGUAAUUCUAGAGCUAAUACAUGCUGAAAACCCCGACUUCGGAAGGGGUGUAUUUAUUAGAUUAAAAACCAAUGCCCUUCGGGGCUCACUGGUGAUUCAUGAUAACUUCUCGAAUCGCACGGCCUUGCGCCGGCGAUGGUUCAUUCAAAUUUCUGCCCUAUCAACUUUCGACGGCUGGGUCUUGGCCAGCCGUGGUGACAACGGGUAACGGAGGGUUAGGGCUCGACCCCGGAGAAAACGCCUGAGAAACGGCGUUUACAUCCAAGGAAGGCAGCAGGCGCGCAAAUUACCCAAUGCCGACACGGCGAGGUAGUGACGAGAAAUACUGAUACAGGGCUCUUUUGGGUCUUGUAAUUGGAAUGAGUACAAUUUAAAUCUCUUAACGAGGAACAAUUGGAGGGCAAGUCUGGUGCCAGCAGCCGCGGUAAUUCCAGCUCCAAUAGCGUAUAUUAAAGUUGUUGCAGUUAAAAAGCUCGUAGUUGAACCUUGGGCCUGGCUGGCCGGUCCGCCUCACCGCGUGCACUGGUCCGGCCGGGCCUUUCCCUCUGGGGAGCCCCAUGCCCUUUACUGGGCGUGGCGGGGAACCAGGACUUUUACUUUGAAAAAAUUAGAGUGUUCAAAGCAGGCCUAUGCUCGAAUACAUUAGCAUGGAAUAAUAGAAUAGGACGUGUGGUUCUAUUUUGUUGGUUUCUAGGACCGCCGUAAUGAUUAAUAGGGACAGUCGGGGGCGUCAGUAUUCAAUUGUCAGAGGUGAAAUUCUUGGAUUUAUUGAAGACUAACUACUGCGAAAGCAUUCGUCAAGGAUGUUUUCAUUAAUCAGGAACGAAAGUUAGGGGAUCGAAAACGAUCAGAUACCGUUGUAGUCUUAACCAUAAACUAUGCCGACCAGGGAUCGGGCGGUGUUAUUAUUUGACCCGCUCGGCACCUUACACGAAAGUACAAGUUUCUGGGUUCUGGGGGGAGUAUGGUCGCAAGGCUGAAACUUAAAGAAAUUGACGGAAGGGCACCACCAGGGGUGGAGCCUGCGGCUUAAUUUGACUCAACACGGGGAAACUCACCAGGUCCAGACACAACGAGGAUUGACAGAUUGAGAGCUCUUUCUUGAUUUUGUGGGUGGUGGUGCAUGGCCGUUCUUAGUUGGUGGAGUGAUUUGUCUGCUUAAUUGCGAUAACGAACGAGACCUUAACCUGCUAAAUAGCCCGCGUCGCUUUGGCGGCGCGCAGGCUUCUUAGAGGGACUAUCGGCUCAAGCCGAUGGAAGUUUGAGGCAAUAACAGGUCUGUGAUGCCCUUAGAUGUUCUGGGCCGCACGCGCGCUACACUGACACAGCCAGCGAGUCCUUCCUUGGCCGAGAGGCCCGGGUAAUCUUGUUAAACUGUGUCGUGCUGGGGAUAGAGCAUUGCAAUUAUUGCUCUUCAACGAGGAAUCCCUAGUAAGCGCAAGUCAUCAGCUUGCGUUGAUUACGUCCCUGCCCUUUGUACACACCGCCCGUCGCUACUACCGAUUGAACGGCUCAGUGAGGCCUUCGGACUGGCCCAGGGAGGUGGGCAACUACCACCCAGGUGCCGGAAAGUUGUACGAACUCGGUCGUUUAGAGGAAGUAAAAGUCGUAACAAGGUCUCCGUUGGUGAACCAGCGGAGG